CCUACGGGUGGCAGCAGUGAGGAAUAUUGGUCAAUGGACGAGAGUCUGAACCAGCCAAGUAGCGUGAAGGAUGACUGCCCUAUGGGUUGUAAACUUCUUUUAUAAAGGAAUAAAACGAGGCACGUGUGCCUUUUUGCAUGUACUUUAUGAAUAAGGAUCGGAUAACUCCGUGCCAGCCGCGGUAAUACGGAGGAUCCGAGCGUUAUCCGGAUUUAUUGGGUUUAAAGGGAGCGUAGAUGGGUUGGUAAGUCAGUUGUGAAAGUUUGCGGCUCAACCGUAAGAUUGCAAUUGAUACUGGCAGUCUUGAGUACAGUUGAGGUAGGCGGAAUUCGUGGUGUAGCGGUGAAAUGCGUAGAUAUCACGAAGAACCCCGAUUGCGAAGGCAGCUUACUAAACUGUGACUGACAUUGAUGCUCGAAAGUGUGGGUAUCAAACAGGAUUAGAUACCCUUGUAGUC
rnacentral:rRNA from 1 species